rnacentral:rRNA from 1 species
CAGUAGCCGCGGGAAUACGGAGGGGGCUAGCGUUGUUCGGAAUUACUGGGCGUAAAGCGCACGUAGGCGGCUUUGUAAGUUAGAGGUGAAAGCCUGGGGCUCAACUCCAGAAUUGCCUUUAAGACUGCAUCGCUUGAACGUCGGAGAGGUGAGUGGAAUUCCGAGUGUAGAGGUGAAAUUCGUAGAUAUUCGGAAGAACACCAGUGGCGAAGGCGGCUCACUGGACGACUGUUGACGCUGAGGUGCGAAAGCGUGGGGAGCAAACAGGAUUAGAUACCCCUGUAGUCCCUGUCUCUUAUAC